rnacentral:tRNA from 1 species
UCUAAAAUGGCAGAUAGAUGCCUAGGAUUUAAGCUCCUAUCAGGAAGGGCCUCCUUCUUUUAGAA